rnacentral:rRNA from 1 species
AAUCAACGCUGGCGGCGUGCCUAACACAUGCAAGUCGCACGAGAAAGGGACUUCGGUCCUGAGUAAAGUGGCGCACGGGUGAGUAACACGUGAAUAAUCUACCCUCGAGUGGGGAAUAACCUAGAGAAAUCUGGGCUAAUACCGCAUAACACUUACGAGUCAAAGCAGCAAUGCGCUUGGGGAGGAGUUCGCGGCCGAUUAGCUAGUUGGCGGGGUAAUGGCCCACCAAGGCGAUGAUCGGUAUCCGGCCUGAGAGGGCGCACGGACACACUGGAACUGAAACACGGUCCAGACUCCUACGGGAGGCAGCAGUGGGGAAUUUUGCGCAAUGGGGGAAACCCUGACGCAGCAACGCCGCGUGGAGGAUGAAAUAUCUUGGUAUGCAAACUCCUUUCGAU